rnacentral:rRNA from 1 species
UGGGGAAUAUUGGACAAUGGGCGCAAGCCUGAUCCAGCAAUGCCGCGUGUGUGAAGAAGGCCUGCGGGUUGUAAAGCACUUUUGUCCGGAAAGAAAUUGUCCGAGUUAAUACCUUGGGCGGAUGACGGUACCGGAAGAAUAAGCACCGGCUAACUUCGUGCCAGCAGCCGCGGUAAUACGAAGGGUGCAAGCGUUAAUCGGACUUACUGGGCGUAAAGGGUGCGUAGGUGGUCUGUUAAGUCGGAUGUGAAAGCCCCGGGCUCAACCUGGGAAUGGCAUCUGAUACUGGCGGACUUGGAGUCUUGGAGAGGGUGGUGGAAUUCCUGGUGUAGCGGUGAAAUGCGUAGAGAUCAGGAGGAACACUAGUGGCGAAGGCGGCCACCUGGCCAAAGACUGACGCUGAGGCACGAAAGCGUGGGGAGCAAACAGG